rnacentral:rRNA from 1 species
UACGUAGGGUGCAAGCGUUGUCCGGAAUUAUUGGGCGUAAAGAGCUCGUAGGCGGUUUGUUGCGUCGGCUGUGAAAACCUGAGGCUCAACCUCAGGCCUGCAGUCGAUACGAGCAGACUAGAGUGUUGCAGGGGAGACUGGAAUUCCUGGUGUAGCGGUGGAAUGCGCAGAUAUCAGGAGGAACACCGAUGGCGAAGGCGGUUCUCUGGGCAUUACCUGACGCUGAGGAGCGAAAGUGUGGGGAGCGAACAGG